rnacentral:rRNA from 1 species
GGGCCCGCACAAGCGGUGGAGCAUGUGGUUUAAUUCGAUGAUACGCGAGGAACCUUACCUAGGCUUAAAUGUAGAUUGACGUAUUGGGAAACCAGUAUUUCUUCGGACAAUCUACAAGGUGCUGCAUGGUUGUCGUCAGCUCGUGCCGUGAGGUGUCGGGUUAAGUCCCAUAACGAGCGCAACCCCUAUCAUUAGUUGCUAACAUUUAGUUGAGGACUCUAAUGAAACUGCCCGCGUAAGCGGUGAGGAAGGUGGGGAUGACGUCAAAUCAUCACGGCCCUUACGUCUAGGGCUACACACGUGCUACAAUGGUAACUACAGAGGGAAGCUAUCUGGUGACAGUGAGCAAAUCCUUAAAAGUUAUCCCAGUUCGGAUUGAAGUCUGCAACUCGACUUCAUGAAGUUGGAAUCGCUAGUAAUCGGAUAUC